rnacentral:tRNA from 1 species
AUUAUAUUGGCAGAAUAAUGCAUUAGAAUUAGAAUCUAAUCAACUAUUAUAUAUAUAUAUUC